rnacentral:rRNA from 1 species
AUUGAACGCUGGCGGCAUGCCUUACACAUGCAAGUCGAACGGCAGCACGGGAGCAAUCCUGGUGGCGAGUGGCGAACGGGUGAGUAAUAUAUCGGAACGUGCCCAGUCGUGGGGGAUAACGCAGCGAAAGCUGUGCUAAUACCGCAUACGAUCUAUGGAUGAAAGCGGGGGACCGCAAGGCCUCGCGCGAUUGGAGCGGCCGAUAUCAGAUUAGCUAGUUGGUGGGUUAAAGGCCCACCAAGGGGACGAUCUGUAGCCGGGCUGAGAGGACGACCAGCCACACAGGAACUGUGACACGGUCCAGACUCCUACGGGAGGCAGCAGUGGGGAAUUUUGGACAAUGGGCGCAAGCCGGAUCCAGCAAUGCCGCGUGCAGGAUGAAGGCCUUCGGGUUGUAAACUGCUUUUGUACGGAACGAAACGGUGAGCUUUAAUACAGUUUGCUAAUGACGGUACCGUAAGAAUAUGCACCGGCUAACUGCGUGCCAGCCGCCGCGGUAA